UUUCUUUGGAAUGCCAGACACAUUGCAACCUUCAUUGACCUAGGAUCCUGGACUGAAAAAACAGGAAGAGACCUUGAGUGUUUUCCUCAACAGUGUACAGGGAAUUCCUGUGGCAUCUACAUGCUGAUGUAUGCUCUCAGCACCUGUACAUCAUGCCCACU